rnacentral:misc_RNA from 1 species
UGGUUCUGGCAUCGAUGAAGAACGCAGCGAAAUGCGAUAAGUAAUGUGAAUUGCAGAAUUCAGUGAAUCAUCGAAUCUUUGAACGCACAUUGCGCCCUGUGGUAUUCCGCAGGGCAUGCCUGUUCGAGCGUCAUUAUAACCACUCACGCCUGGCGUGGUGUUGGGACCCGCGAUUCCGCGGUCCUCAAACCUAGUGGCGGUGCCCGUAGGCUCUAAGCGUAGUAAUACUCCUCGCUAUAGGGUCCUGCGGGUUACCCGCCAGAACCCCCCCAAUUUUUCAGGUUGACCUCGGAUCAGGUAGGGAUACCCGCUGA